rnacentral:rRNA from 1 species
GAGUUUGAUCAUGGCUCAGAUUGAACGCUGGCGGCAUGCUUUACACAUGCAAGUCGAACGGUAACAGGGAGCUUGCUCCGCUGACGAGUGGCGAACGGGUGAGUAAUGCGUCGGAACGUGCCGAGUAGUGGGGGAUAACGCAUCGAAAGGUGUGCUAAUACCGCAUACGAACUGAGGUUGAAAGUGGGGGACCUUCGGGCCUCACGCUAUUCGAGCGGCCGACGUCUGAUUAGCUAGUAGGUGAGGUAAAGGCUCACCUAGGCGACGAUCAGUAGCGGGUCUGAGAGGAUGAUCCGCCACACUGGGACUGAGACACGGCCCAGACUCCUACGGGAGGCAGCAGUGGGGAAUUUUGGACAAUGGGCGCAAGCCUGAUCCAGCCAUGCCGCGUGUCUGAAGAAGGCCUUCGGGUUGUAAAGGACUUUUGUCUGGGAGCAAAUACCCGGUGUUAAUAGCGCCGGGGGCUGAGAGUACCAGAAGAAUAAGCACCGGCUAACUACGUGCCAGCAGCCGCGGUAAUACGUAGGGUGCAAGCGUUAAUCGGAAUUACUGG